rnacentral:rRNA from 1 species
UGCCGCGUGCGUGAAGAAGGCCUUCGGGUUGUAAACUGCUUUUGUUAGGAAAGAAAAGGCUCGGGUUAAUACCUGGGGCACCUGACGGUACCGGAAGAAUAAGCACCGGCUAACUACGUGCCAGCAGCCGCGGUAAUACGUAGGGUGCAAGCGUUAAUCGGAAUUACUGGGCGUAAAGCGUGCGCAGGCGGUUUUGUAAGACAGGUGUGAAAUCCCCGGGCUCAACCUGGGAAUUGCGCUUGUGACUGCAAGGCUGGAGUGCGGCAAAGGGGGAUGGAAUUCCGCGUGUAGCAGUGAAAUGCGUAGAUAUGCGGAGGAACACCGAUGGCGAAGGCAAUCUCCUGGGCCUGCACUGACGCUCAUGCACGAAAGCGUGGGGAGCAAACAGGAUUAGAUACCCUGGUAGUCCACGCCCUAAACGAUGUCAACUGGUUGUUGGGUCUCUUCUGACUCGGUAACGCAGCUAACGCGUGAAGUUGACCGCCUGGGGAGUACGGUCGCAAGGUUGAAACUCAAAGGA